rnacentral:rRNA from 1 species
CUUACACAUGCAGUCGAACGGCAGCACGGACUUCGGUCUGGUGGCGAGUGGCGAACGGGUGAGUAAUGUAUCGGAACGUGCCCAGUAGCGGGGGAUAACUACGCGAAAGCGUAGCUAAUACCGCAUACGCCCUACGGGGGAAAGCAGGGGAUCGCAAGACCUUGCACUAUUGGAGCGGCCGAUAUCGGAUUACCUAGUUGGUGGGGUAACGGCUCUUCAAGG